UCUCCGUUGGUGAACCAGCGGAGGGAUCAUUAUCGAGUUUAUAACUCCCAAACCCUAUGUGAACUUACCACUUGUUGCUUCGGCGCGCGCUUCGGCGCCGCCGAGGACACUUAAACACUUUGUUUUUAUAAGCAUUUCUGAGUGGCCGAAAGGCAAAAUACAAAUGAAUCAAAACUUUCAACAACGGAUCUCUUGGUUCUG
rnacentral:misc_RNA from 1 species